rnacentral:lncRNA from 1 species
GAACUUCUGUUUUGAUGGAUGUGGCAAGCGGCUUGCUUUUCCUGAGAUCAGAUCAUCUCCUGUGGGGGAGAUCAGGCUUCUCCAGGGCCAGCUGGGAGAGCACGGCGGGGGGGGGGGGGGACGGGAGGGCUGCGCAGGCGCCUUUAGGAAGCAGCUUAGGACCUGGUUUUGAAUCCCGGCCGGGGGGGGGGGGGGGCCUCUGGGGACAUGGCCCCACUUCCUCCCUCUGCUCCAGGACUCAGCACGCACAGGCUGUUGGAAAGUUUCAGAAAAAGAGCACCAGCCCUCAGUGGGCGUAUUCCCGGGAGAAGCCCAAGGGCUGGCUCCCAAGAAAUGCCCCCGCCUCUCUCCUGGGUCUUCCUGGCAAGCCCCUCUCUGCACCCUUUGGCAGUCUGAUGGAAGAAGCUGAUGGAUGGAUGGGAAGUUGUCUCAUCCUCCACCCAACCUUUCCCUUCCUCCCCCGCCCCCCACUCCCCUCCUGGCUCCAGGGAGCUGUGAAGCUCUUCCUGAUGAGGCUGUGUCUCCGGACCCACGUGAGCCGCAGAUGCCGGACUUGGGGGCGCCUGACCUUGAACUAUGACCUUCGAGCCUGA